GACGAACGCUGGCGGCGUGCCUAAUACAUGCAAGUCGAGCGAGUCUGCCUUGAAGAUCGGAGUGCUUGCACUCUGUGAAACAAGAUACAGGCUAGCGGCGGACGGGUGAGUAACACGUGGGUAACCUGCCCAAGAGAUCGGGAUAACACCUGGAAACAGAUGCUAAUACCGGAUAACAACAGAUGAUGCCUAUCAACUGUUUAAAAGAUGGUUCUGCUAUCACUCUUGGAUGGACCUGCGGUGCAUUAGCUAGUUGGUAGGGUAACGGCCUACCAAGGCGAUGAUGCAUAGCCGAGUUGAGAGACUGAUCGGCCACAUUGGGACUGAGACACGGCCCAAACUCCUACGGGAGGCAGCAGUAGGGAAUCUUCCACAAUGGACGCAAGUCUGAUGGAGCAACGCCGCGUGAGUGGAGAAGGGUUUCGGCUCGUAAAGCUCUGUUGUUGGUGAAGAAGGACAGGGGUAGUAACUGACCUUUGUUUGACGGUAAUCAAUGAGAAAGUCACGGCUAACUACGUG
rnacentral:rRNA from 1 species